GCUCCCUUAGCUCAAUUGGUUAGAGCAGCGGACUUUUAAUCCGUUUGUUGUGAGUUCAAGUCUCACAGGGAGUA
rnacentral:tRNA from 1 species